GACGAACGCUGGCGGCGUGCUUAACACAUGCAAGUCGAACGGUGAAGGGACCGGUUUUUGCUGGUUCUGGAUGAGUGGCGAACGGGUGAGUAACACGUGAGUAACCUGCCCCCUUCUUCUGGAUAACCGCAUGAAAGUGUGGCUAAUACGGGAUAUUCUGCGCCUGCUGCAUGGUGGGUGUGGGAAAGAUAUUGUUUCGGUGGGGGAUGGGCUCGCGGCCUAUCAGCUUGUUGGUGGGGUGAUGGCCUACCAAGGCGGGGACGGGUAGCCGGCCUGAGAGGGUGGACGGUCACACUGGGACUGAGACACGGCCCAGACUCCUACGGGAGGCAGCAGUGGGGAAUAUUGCACAAUGGGCGCAAGCCUGAUGCAGCGACGCCGCGUGAGGGAUGGAGGCCUGCGGGUUGUAAACCUCUUUCGCCAGUGAAGCAGGCCUGUCCCUUUUGUGGGUGGGUUGACGGUAGCUGGAUAAGAAGCGCCGGCUAACUACGUG
rnacentral:rRNA from 1 species